rnacentral:rRNA from 1 species
GCGGCUGCGCCACUGGGAUACCCUGAUCCAACAUCGAGGUCGUAAACCCACUUGUCGAUAGGGGCUCUUGAAGUGGAUUGCGCUGUUAUCCCUAGGGUAACUUGGUUCGUUGCUCAAUUUCUUGGGUCAAUGUAUGUCAGUUUGUUGGUGCUUGAAGUCGUGGCUUUGGGCUCAAGAAAGGUUCUUUUCAAUGUGGAGGUUAGUUUUUGCUCCGCGGUCACCCCAACCUCAAACUAAUAGUCAUUAAGGCUAUAGUGAGUGUCGUAGUUCUGAAACAUGGAGUGGAUGGGCCAGUGCUAUAAUAGUUUAAAGCUCCAUAGGGUCUUCUCGUCUUAUAUUAUUAUGCCCGCUUCUUCACGGGGAGAUCAGUUUCAUUGAUUAGAAAAAGGAGACAGCAUAACCCUCGUGAUGCCGUUCAUACUAGUCCCCAUUUAAAGAACAAGUGAUUACGCUACCUUCGCACGGUUAGGAUACCGCGGCCGUUGAACUAGGUCACUGGGCAGGCUAGACCUCUUAUAUUUAAGCAAGAGGCGAUGUUUUUGGUAAACAGGCGAGGUUAAUGUUUGCCGAGUUCCUUCUUUUUCUUUAAAUCUUUCUUGAGAUGUUCUUGUGUUAGGUUAACGUUUGGAAAAACAGGGUUUUCUAGAGGUGUUACUGUUUUGUGCUCACUAGCGUUUAAUUGUCAGUGGUUUGUCCUUUCUGACUUACACUUACAUUAAAGAGAAGGUCAUCUUCUUAUUACUAGUUUUAACAUAAUAGCCUCCAUAUUUUUAUGGAGUUACUUAAUAGUGGUGAAGGG